rnacentral:lncRNA from 1 species
AUGCCCAGUUCUGGGCAGAAUGGGUUUGUGGGAGUCGGAGGUGUCUGGCAGAGUCCCAAACACGGGACUGACAAUCAGGAAGAAAUCAGAUGCGAGAACCAUGGAAGACAUUCAGCUGAUGUGGACACAUGGACGGACACUCCAGAGAGAACAGGCUUUGGUCUGGGGCUGUACAGAAAAUCUUACUGCAUAGUGAUUGGAAAAUGCAUCAGAAGUCCAGUCAAAGUUGGGGUCACAGGUUCCUCUUAAAAAGCGGACGAGAGAGAUUUGAAACAUCUCCACUCCCACCUUUGCUCAGCCACAGGGUUGCAGCCACUACCCAGAAGAGACAUGGAACGGAGGAAGCCUCCAGAGGCUGACAGAGAACGAAAGGGACAAAUUAAAAGAUCAUGGCAACAUUCUCUUCCUUCUGUCUCUCCUGCUAGAGUCCAGUUUGACUGGUCCCUGGCUGAAGCCCGGAAUUACUGCCUGCAGGAGAAUGCUUCCCAGCCUAUCAGGCAAAAGGACUAAGGUGUAGAUGACAGGGGAAGAUAGUCCAGGCAAAGGUGUAAAGACAGCAACCAGCCGUUUUUGCUUUUUGACGUAGUGCAACUUAGAAAGCUGCCUUAAAGAAAACCAAGAUCCAGAAAGGCAUCAUUUGCCCUCCGCGGGGUCGAGAUUAGUAGAUCCCCAAACAAGUUUAUGGGUUCACUUCUAGCAAGUGAAAGACACACCUUCUCCAUCUUACUCUUUUAAUUCACAAAAACUCAAAGUCCUGGUUUCUUUUCGGCCUGCACAGAGGGCAGCCAGUCCCGACCCUUGGGCUACCAGAUCAACGGGUCCAACAGUCUUGAAACAGAGCCCCAGGCUCUCAGCACCCAAUCGGAGCGGAGCUCCGCCUGCAGCCCGCCCAGAGGCCUGAGCCUGUUAGCUCUACCCCUAACGCCUUCCCUAGCAGCGAGCGGUCCGCUUUCCGCCUGCGCCCAGGCUUGGACUGCGCCUAACUUCGCCCUUUGCUCCGCCCUCCAGCCAAUCACCAUCCCCAAAUUUCCUUUGGCCCCACCUCCAGACCCGCCCCGGUCCAGUCUCGGGCUUGGCUCGCCCGGGCCCCACCCCUGGCCCGCCCCGCCGUCGGUGCGCGGCGGCCGGGAAGGCGCCUCCUGCAGUCGCUCGGAACUGCGGACCUGAGAGCUUCCCGCAGAGGGCCGUCGGUGGGAGCGGAGUGGGUCGGGCGGGGCCGAGCCGGGCCGUGGGCCGUGUGGGGGCCAGG